GUGUCCGUCCCUCGGGCCGGCGACGCCCCGGGUCUGGGCAGCUCCAGACGGCACUCCCGGCGCCGGAUCCUCGGGCUCCGGAGUGAGGCUGCGACCACUUGAAAGCCCAAACUACCGAGCGGAGACGAGCCGCAGAGACCACCCCACAACUUCCUGGGGCCGAGGGGCACCGGGCCAGAGCGAGGAAGGAACUUGCCAAAAGGCACGUAGCGUUUGGAGCUCAGCCCGAGCGGCUGCUCAGGGCCCCGGCGAGCGGGGCUGGGCGCUCCCGGACUUGUGAGCAGAGCUCAUAGAAAUUCCGAGCUGGAGGGACCCUGCAGGACUCUCACUGUUGCUGCUAACAUGCACUGCUCCAGACACUGCUCUGUGACAACCUGGGAUGCCUUCAAUUACUUCAAAGGUGUUAUCAAAUUCUCAAAACAGCCCUGGCCGGUCUGGCUCAGGGUGCGUGCCAGAGGCACCAAUGAUACAUUGAUGUUUUUCUCUCUGCCUCCCUCCCAUUCUCUUAAAAAAAAAAAAAAAAAAAGAAGAAGAAGAAAGAAUAUCCUCAGGUGAGGAUUUAAAAAAUAAUAAUUCUAGUUCAUUUUAAUUAUGAAAAUAAAUACACAUAUACCCAGAUUUUGAAGGGAGGGAGCCAAGGAAUGCAAACACCAAAGCACCAUUGAGUGUCACCAAGAGGGAGGUUACAGGGAGAUUAGAAUCUAUAAGGCAGCCCUCAGGCAUCACCUCUACCCAUUGGGCCCCCAGACCAGUCUCCUUCCUGUUCUUCAUCUGUACACCCCAAAUUGCCUCUUCCUAGAAUGCUCUCUUCCUAAGCCCAACCUCUCUUCUCAUGAACAUUGACAUUUACUUUAAAAAGAGAGAGAGAGAGGUGUCUUCAACUAUUUGCAUUUUGUUUCCAAACUAUUUCAGCUGUUUUUAUAAAAAGUCCAACUGAACUUAGAGAGUUAGGAAAAUAAUUCCAUUCCCUAAAAUACCAGACGACUCCUAGAUGGGUUUUUUUGGACAAUGCUCUAGUAUGACAUAAAAAGGUUACAUAGUCA